rnacentral:tRNA from 1 species
GCUGAGAUGUCCGAGCGGUCUAAGGAGCUGGAUUCAAGUCUUCAUCAGCUUGCAUGUGUCAUGUGUACUUCCCAGUAGAGAAAUCUGCAGGGGUUCGAAUCCCCUUUUCAGCA